GUCGGGUUGAGCGAGGAGGAGGAGGAGGAGGAGGAGAAAAGAGAAGAAUAUCAAAUCACAAAAUAAGAACGUUGAAUGAAAUGAAGAACAGGAGAAGAGUGAAGUGGUGUAGAAGAAGAAGAAGAAGAAGAAGUAGAGAAUACCAAACCACAAAAUAUGAACGUUGAAUGAAAAGGAGAAGUGUUUUAUCGCGUUCAUGGUGCAGAAGAAUUGUCAAACGAUCACUAGGCUUACAAAACUACCCAUGGAAAUACUACCCACCCACAACCUCUACGAAAACCUUAUCAAAAGAGGGCGUGCAAGCCCCGAAGUCUUUAUAAUGGGGACUUAAGGAUACUGCAGGAAACUAAUAUAUGACUUAGCCGUGCAAAUAGGUGUGUGUGAUACUUAAUAAAAAUGAUAGUAAUAGUUUUGAUAGGCUAAUGAUAACCUACUCUGAAAAACUGUGAACUGGGGUACGAGAAAUAACUUGAUAUGGAAAUCGUGUUAUUACUGGGUUAAGCAUUAUUCCUUUUACACUAAGUCGCUAGGAAGUGUGAGAACAAGGCACGUGGCUGAGGGCAGAAACAAGUAUCACGGUGGGGGAAAACAAUACGGGUACAAUUUCGUUCAGUAACUCGACGCGCGCAUCUCACUGGCCGCGACAUUCACCACCUCGCCGACCGCAGCCUCGCCAAGCCCAAGCGCCACGCACCUCAUCAACUCUUCGCUAAACUCACUAACGAAAGUCUUUAAGUACCGAAACAGCAUCCUCUUAAGCUCUUCCUUGGCGUAACGAAGUGCCAGGCGGCGGACUCUUAGUGCUAGGCGACGCUUGCACUCUUGAAGCACCGGUAGAACAAGACAAAGGGAGAUGAAGACGACUGCCAUGAAGGAAAAAGAGUAAGAUCGAGGAGCGGAUGGCGUGGGCUCAAGGGUCUCCAGGUCACCUAUGAGAUGCUGGAGCCGGCGAACCUUGUAAAUGAGUCCGGUUGAAGGGUUAAAGUGAGGUUCGUUGAGGCACAGUAAGGAAGGAGCGGGUGGUAGGUGUUCACGGGGGUGCCUCAAGGUCUUCGGUUGAGCUCGAGUCGCUACUGGAUGGCUCUGGGAAUGGCUGGCUACCCCGAGAACCUCUACAGCGAUCGCCACCACGGCCACGAUUGCGCUAGUUAUGAAGACCUGCCAUGCUCGUGUGCCGCAGAACAUGGAAGAAAAAAUAGUAAGGGAAGACUAAGCAUACGAAACACGUCUUCAGUUGAGCUUGAGUCGCUACAGGAGGAUUCAAAAGGCUGGCUAACCCGAAAACAUCAACAACAAUCGCCACCACGGCCACGAUUGCGCUAGUUAUGAACACCUGCCAUGCUCGUGUGCCGCAGGACAUGGAAGAAAAAAUAGUAAGGGAAGACUAAGCAUACGAAACACGUCUUCAGUUGAGCUUGAGUCGCCACAGGAGGAUUCAAAAGGCUGGGCUACCCCGAGAACCUCUACAGCGAUCGCCACCAGACACGACUGCACUAGAUAAUGAACAUCUGCCAUUCUUGUGUCCCGGAAACCAUCAAACAAAAAGAAAUACGCGAAGACUAAACACUAAACAAGGGAAGACCAGACAUACGAAACAAGUCACAUGGUCAUUGCGGUAAGACAAGGAGAUUGAAGUAUGCGUAUUUAUAAGGGGUUUUGAAUCUUCCUCUUCUUAGGCGCUGUAGCACGGAUAUGUUUCGUCUGUUACGCAAACUGAAUAUAUACGAAAAAAUCUCCAUAUUGCCGGUGAUAAACGAAGCCUAAUGUAUGUGUAGCCUAUGUAAUGUGUAUUAGAAUCUCUCUUUCUUCUUGAUGAUGUAAUCCACACACAAAACAUCGUAGAGAGAAAAGGAAAGGAAAAUAACAUAAGCUGAGUGCCCUCGAAGCUGCAAAACUCGCGGGCCCCAAAAUACCUCGAGAAACAAAAGAAGCACACAAGUUAGCGUAAUAAUCUGAGACAAUAGAAUAAUCCGGCCAUUAGGGAAGGAGAGAAAGAGGAAAAGAGAAAGAUCCGCCGUAAGAGAAAAUGUUAUAAUGAGCUGAUAAAACAAUAAAACUCGCGGGGCCCAAAAUACCUCGAGAAACAAAAGAAGCUCAAGAGGGUAGCGUAAUAAUCUGAGACAAUAGAAUAAUCCGGCCAUUAGAGAAGGAGAGGAAGGGGAAAAUAAAUAUUGCAUCGUAAAAGAAAAUGUUAUAAUGAGCUGAUAAAACACUAAAAUUCGCGGGCCCAAAAUACCUCGAGAAACAAAAGAAGCUCAAGAAGUUAGCGUAAUAAUCUGAGACAAUAGGAUAAUCCGGCCAUUAAGGGAAGGAGAGGAAGAUAAGAGAAAGUGCAUCGUAAAAGAAAAUGUUAUAAUGAGCUGAUAAAACAAUUAAACUCGCGGGCCCAAAAUACCUCGAGAAACAAAAGAUCAAGAGGGUAGCUUAAUAAUUCAAGACAAUAGAAUAAUCCAGCCAUUAGGGAAGGAGAGGAAGGGGAAAAGAGAAAUUGCAUCGUAAAAGAAAAUGUUAUAAUGAGCUGAUAAAACAAUGAAACUCGCGGGGCCCAAAAUACCUCGAGAAACAAAAGAAGCUCAAGAAGUUAGCUUAAUAAUUCAAGACAAUAGAAUAAUCCGGCCAUUAAGGGAAGGAGAGGAAGAUAAGAGAAAGUGCAUCGUAAAAUAAAAUGUUAUAAUGAGCUGAUAAAACAAUAAACCUCGCGGGGCCAAAAAUGCCUCGAGGGAAAAAAAAUGAGGAACCGGAAGCUGACGUAAUGAGAGACAAUAGAAGAUGAUGACGAUGAAGAGAGAGAGAGAGAGAGAGAGAGAGAGAGAGAGAGAGAGAGAGAGAGAGAAAGGCCACACGCUAGGCUAUACGAUUUCUUUUCCGAGUUCGAGAAGCCAGUCAAUCGCUCUAAUUCUUGAAGGACGACGAAGUGAAAAUCCAAAACCCAACCAGAGGAAGAGACUAACGAAGAGACAGAUAGAUAGAGAGGAAGAGAGAAACAAGGAAGAGAUAGCUACACAGACAGAGAGAUAGAGAUAGAAACUUAAAGACAGAGAGACAGCGCCAUAAUAACGUGAUGAGUUGGACCGUAUGCAGACAGGGCAGGAUUGAGGUUCUUGCAACACCACGGACGGAAAAAAGGAGAAAGAGGGAGAGAGAAAAAAAUAUCCAGCCUGGGAACGCCACUAUGCAAAUGACGCACUAGCCAUGAAUGACGAUGAGGAAGCUGCUUAACAUCACGAGAGAGAAAGAAAAAGGAGAAAAAAGGGAGUCUCAGUGUUUGGGUCAGCCAGUUCCACAGCUAGAUAUAUAUAUUGUUUGUAAGCUCUCUAACGAGUCUAACCCAAUACCAAAGACUAUAGGGCAUUGUUACUGGCCUCUUACAGACUCCUUAGGUUCUUAUUAUAGUGUUGGUGUCCAAAAGGAAGCGAAGGAAUUAGGCUAUACGGGAUAUCUCUCUUUAAUGUCAGACUCCUUAGGUUCUUCUUAUAGUCAAGGAAGCGAAGUAUUUUAGGCUAUACGGGAUAUCUCUCUUUAAUGUCAGACUCCUUAGGUUCUUCUUAUAGUCAAGGAAGCGAAGUAUUUUAGGCUAUACGGGAUAUCUCUCUUUAAUGUCAGACUCCUUAGGUUCUUAAAUAGUGUUGAUGUCCAUAAGGAAGCGAAGGAAUUAGGCUAUACGGGAUAUCUCUCUUUAAGGAAUAUAUGAAGUAUUUAUAAAGAGAAAAUUACGUAAAACAUGAUUCCCUUUUUCCUCUCAGCUUCACGUCUUGCACCUCGACACCUCGCGCGUGAAUGAAUCCUUUGAAGUUCUGCCUCGUUAAAAUAGCACCAUUGCCACCACCACCACCACCGCCACCACCACAAAUAACAAUAUGGACAAAUAUGCCUAAAGUAAUGAUGAUGAUAGAGAGAAGGAAGAGGAGGAAGAGAAGGAGAAAAUGACCAGCAUCGCUCAUUUCAUUAUACAAAUCGGAAAUGAUCUUAAAAGGCACUUAUGUCCAUAGUAGGCGAACUGACUGACUGACUGGUUGACUGACUGGGUGGGUUGGUAGGUGGCUGACUGACUGAAUAAUAGACUGGCUGACUGAGUGGUUGACUGACUGACUUGCUAACAAUAUCUAAAGAGGCACUUAUGUCCAUAGUGGGCGAACUCAAUGACUGACUGACUGACUGACUGACUGGGUGGGUGGUUGGUAGGUGGCUGACUGGCUGAAUAAUAGACUGGCUGACUGACUGGAUGUUAUCUCUCUCCCUCUCUCCCUCCCAUUCCUUUCCUUCCCUUUCCUCCCUCCCAUACUCAUAUCACGGACUGGGUGACUGAGUGACUGGCGGACAAACUGAGUGACUGGCUGAAUCCCUCUCCCUCCCUCCCCUCUCCUCCUUCCCUUCCUUCCCUCCCACACAUCAUAUCACGACCAACACAACAACACAGCCUCUCUCUUUGCUAUACGCGGACUCCUCGUUACGCUGUGUCAUCCACUAUUGUGCUACACAUUACCCCACGUCAAGUUUGGCUCCUCGCCGCCCGCCCGUCGCGACCACAAGCCUCAUAUCCCGUCAGACGCUUUCGGUUCUCACAACAACUAUUCUUCAAAGGCUACAAAGAAGAUAAAUCGGGUUCUUAUGAGUGUUUUCCGCAUUCAUGGGUACAGAGGCCUUGUCAAACUAUCACUCGGCUCAUACAACUACCCAUGGAUAUACUAACACAACUUCUACGAAAGUCUUAUUUAUGGUAGGGUGUAUAAGCCCAUAAUGUUUGAGAAUAUGGGGUUUUACGGCUCUCUCUCUCUCUCUCUCUCUCUCUCUCUCUCUCUCUCUCUCUCUCUUCCCACAAGGACGCCCGCCAGCCGCCCACGCGCAGCAGGUUUCCUAUUUACUAAAGGAGGGAUGGAAGCAAGUCGACGAUUGGAGUCUUAAAAAUUAGAAGCGACUUUGCGUACAAAAACAACAUACCAAUCCUUGACUCAAUGAUCACCACGAGUAUAAAAGACGCAUUCUCUUGUGUAUGAAGGCAACUCGAUGAAGCUACUGAUAAAAGAACAACACGGGGGUAGGUGAUUCAGCGAUGCCCCGGAGGUAUUACAUGUGUUCACCCUUGAGUGCGUAACCUUGCUUAGUGAGAUGAAAGGCGAGGAGAUGCGGAAGCUUGUCUACUCUCACGCACUGCACCGGCCCUUCCUUCUACCUUGUCUAACUUUAAAGGUUGGUAUGCUCACACGCUUCCGCCUCCCCGUCAACGAUUUCCAAAGGUCGAUAAGGAGAUUGAUUGGGUUCUUACGAGUGUUUCUUUACGUUUAUUGUGUAGAAGCCUUGUCAAACUACCACCAGGCUUCCAAUGGCCCUUUUACUUCAAUGGUCGGGACACUCACACGAUUCCGCCUCCCCGUCAAUGAUUUCCAAAGGUCGAUAAGGAGAUUGAUCGGGUUCUUAUGAGUUUUUCUUUACGUUUGAAGUACUGAAAUCUUGUCAAACUAUCAGGCUUUCCAACGGCCCCUCCUUCUACCUUGUCUAACUUUAAUGGUCGGGAUACUUAGACGCUUCCGCCCUCACAUCAACGAAUUCUAAAGGUCUAUAAGAAGACUGAUUGGGUUCUCAUGAGUUUUUCUUUAUGUUUGGGGUAUAGAAAUCUUGUCAAACUAUCAGGCUUUUCAACGGCCCCUCCUUCUACCUUGUCUAACUUUAAUGGUCGGGAUACUUAGACGCUUCCGCCCUCACAUCAACGAAUUCUAAAGGUCUAUAAGAAGAUUGAUUGGGUUCUUAUGAGUGUUUGUUCAGGUAAAUGGUAUAUAAGACUUUUCAAACUAACUAUCAGGCUUUGCAACGGCUCUUCCUUCUACCUCGUCUAGUUUCAAUGGUUGGUAUACUUAAACGCUUCCGCCCAUGACAUCAACAAUUUCCAGAGGCCACAGAGGUGAUUAAUCGGGUCCUAAUGAGUGUUUCCUUACGUUCAUGGUGUAGAGGCCUUGUCAAACUACCACCAGGGUCAUAAAACUACCCCUGGAAAUGCCCGCUAUAACUCCUACGAAAGCCUUGUCAAAUGCGUGUGUGCUUGGCCGCCUGAAUGUUUAAGAAUAAGAAUGUUUAAAAAUGUUGCUUGGGUCACAUUCUGAACAUAAUACAACAACUACCUGCCUCAUUGCUUUUAGAUAAGAACCUGCUACUCUCUCUCUCUCUCUCUCUCUCUCUCUCUCUCUCUCUCUCUCUCUCUCUCUCUCUCUCUCUCUCUCAUUCCUGUUUGUUGCCAUUUGUCAAAUCUCUUCCUAAGGUGACCAUCUGUCUU